rnacentral:rRNA from 1 species
UACGGAGGGAGCUAGCGUUAUUCGGAAUUACUGGGCGUAAAGGGCUCGUAGGCGGCCAACUAAGUCGGAUGUGAAAUCCCCAAGCUUAACUUGGGAACUGCAUCCGAUACUGGAUGGCUUGAAUCCGGGAGAGGGAUGCAGAAUUCCAGGUGUAGCGGUGAAAUGCGUAGAUAUCUGGAGGAAUACCGGUGGCGAAGGCGGCAUCCUGGACCGGCAUUGACGCUGAGGAGCGAAAGCUAAGGGGAGCAAACGGGG